GUUUGCGUCUCUGCACGUUCUUUUUGGCGCUGCAUCUGAGCAUAGGAGGCUGCGUUAUUUAUUUGAGAUUAAAAGAGAGCUGUGCCUGAAUCCACAGUUGUCAAGGAGUUAAAAGCAGUGAAUUCCACUAAAAUGGUCAGGUUUUGGUAAAGAGUUGUAAACAUCCUGUAUCUGAGAUCCUUUCCACGGAGUGAUACAGAUCCAGACGAUCUCCCAGAGAUUCCUAGAUUCCCAGUCCAGGUGGCUGGGUGGCGAGCCAACUGUGUUUGAUUCUGACUUUUGACGGAUUGUCAGGAUCUCCUUCUUCAUCCUUAUGGUGGUAGGACAAACACUGACAUAAACUCAAAAGGGCCCCAACGUUGAUUACUGAACUCUUGUCAACGAAGGCAAGUGGAACUGAGCUCAAAGAAAUUUAAAGACAAGGGAUUUAUUUAUGUGCGCACUUUAUUAUUUUAGUUUGUUAUUUUUCAUAAUUGUUUUCUUAUAUGUAUGUACCAGUCAUAUGUAAUUAAUACACUUGUUACAAACCCAAAUGUCUUUCUGUGAUUCACAGUUGGAGCUGUCAAUCAGACCAGAUCAAAGGCUCCAUGGCCUCUCCAAAAUGUGCAUUGGCUGUUUCAGUCAAUAGAUCCAGUCAAUGGAUCGUAGGCAAUAUUUGAUUGACAGGUCAUCUAGCCAUUGGUAUGACAUUUCUAUGGGUACAGGGGUUGGCCUUGCUCAUUCCAGAACAGUGAUGUCAUCCUAGUGUUUGUUUGGAUAGAGAACCUAAGGCCACCAUUAUGCUCUGAGAUUUCUUCUGUUUCUGAUGACCGAUCAGAUCCAAAUCUAAAAUUUUUGCUGCUUCUUUCAAUGGAUCUAUUCAAAAACACUACAAUCUAGCUAGAGUUGAUCUAUAAUUAGACUCAUAGCAGCUAUAGGGCUAAAGCUACAUGCAUAUGUGCUGAUCCAUGUGAAAGAAUGGGCUCUUUGGAUCAUUCAUUAUUUUAUUUAGUGAUGUACACAAACUAUUAUAUAAUUUCUGCCAAAAACAUUAUAUGUUUGUUAUAAAUAUGAAUAAUAACUGUCUUCCACUGCUAUCAACACCAGUUUCUGCCAUUUCUAAUGAGAUGAAAUCUUUUCACUGCUUCUUUCAAUGGAUCUAUGCAAAAUCACUACAAUCUAGCUAGAUUUGAGUAUUUUGGAAAAAGUUCCUCGUAUUUUUGAGGAGGAAUAAACGCUAAACUGGCAAGAGCGCAUAUUCUGUGUUUGGACCACUGAUCUAUAUAUAUAUAUAACUGGAUAGCUCAUGACGUCACAACAGUGAAGCUACUGCGCCGCCAUCUUGGUAUUCCCUAACGUUCUGUAUUCCUAUGGGUCUCAAUGGGAAAAUGUCUGUUUUGGUGAGUAAUUUUUACCUAUCCAGUCACAUAAAAAAAAAAAAAUUAUGUCUGCAUACACUGCAUCACAAUGCAAUCUUCCUAAAUAUGUAAUUCAUUAUUUAUUUUGACUUUCAUUUUUUCCCCCUGCUUAUUCUAAAUGUGAGCGUGUUAUGUUACUCUUUAUUGCAGCAGCAUUACGUUCAGCGGCGCACGUGUUACCUCAAUAGAAACAAGUUUAAGAAACUGAGGCCUGAAUACGGUCCAGCUCACGGGCAUCGUUUAUAAAGUGAUCAAUUGGAAUAGACGAGGAGCAGGGCUGGACUGGUAAUCUGGCCUACCGGACAUUUUUCCGGUGGACCAACGAACUUUGGGGCCGAUCAGGGGGGACUGGCCAUCGGGAGAACCGAGCGGGCUGCUGUGUCGGCCGCGAUAAGCUAAAAUGAGCCGCCGCGUUAGCGAACACUCUUCCCCCCCAACAACUUUUGGGCCAGUUAUGUCAAAUCCCGGGCCGAUUUCUCUUCCCAGUCCAGCCCUGACAAGGAGCACAUGGAUAUUGUUGAAGUUAAACAAGUACAAGCUUGCCCAGAGUUUUCUUAAGCCGUGUGGAGUGUGAUGCAGCACAUAUUUCCUUGGCAAUGAAGUGGAGGCUGAUGUUUGUGCAGCUUUCUGCAAUGCACUGAGUAUGAAGAUGUGAUUGUUGUAUGGUUCUAGGUUGAACAUGUUUGCCUCAAGUUCCUUUAAUGCAGAACCACCAUGGAGAUCCAGAACAUUUGUGGGGACGGAGAUGGGCCUUGUGUGUAAAGAAAUCUCUCAGCUGUCUUGCAGACUUUCAGGACGCUGUCUGACGGUCUUAUAAAUCCACCUCAGGACUUCAUGUCGAUCAGUGUGUUCAUCUUGGGAAGAGCUCUCGACACUGAGUGCUGAUAAACAGGCUAAACGUCACUGCCUGAAAUGCCAGCAUAUCAGAAGAUGCUGCCUCCAAUGUCACUGUGCUAUCCGGUGGAGAACUGUUGCCACUAGCUCUGAUGGCAUGUCUUGCUACCAUUCUUUUGAAAGCUGAAUAAUGUGGGAUUGUUGUUAAAUCCAUUAGCAGAUUUGUUCCAACAUAUCUGCAAAUUUUUAUUGUAUUGUUCAGUUUAAGUCAAUUUUUGUGUGUACUUGGAAGCUUUUGUUAUUGAACAAAUAAAUGUGUAUGAUUUCCUUGUGUGCAUAUGUCAAUAAACUUAUUUCUAAUUAUGAUUUAAAAGAUCAGGGGAUUGUUGAAAUAAUUAAAUUCUCACAAGCUGGUAUGUAAAUAUUCCAGAAAUGAAUGCAAAUGGAUAAUUCCAUUAAGUAAAGGUAAAUUAAUUUAUGUGUGUGUGUGUAUAUGGGUGUGUGUAUAUAUAUAUAUAUAUAUAUAUAUAUAUAUAUAUAUAUAUAUAUAUAUAUAUAUAUAUAUAUAUAUACAUACACAUACACACACAUACUGUAUAUGAACUUGUGUGUAUACUAAGUUUUUAUAUUUGAUUCUUCUGGAUUUAUUCUGAAGAGGUACUGUCUAGUUACAAUAUAACACAAAGCUAGUCGUUUUUAUUAACAACUUUAAAAUUUGUUGAUGUGCACGCCCGCCCCCCCCCAAAUUAGUUCACAUUUACUAUAUAAUAUAGUCAAAAAUGGUUAGUAAUGUUGGCAAAUUAUGCAGUUGUAACCUGUACAACCUGUGGGCACUUUAGCCGCAUCCUUAAGUGAGUGUUGUUUCGCGGUUAAACGCUGCACAUGCCGUGAUGCCCUCUGUCGGUAGGGAAUAGUAAGAUGGCCGCCAGAGCACUUCCGGUAGCUUCACCUACUGCUGGCAGUUUAGAAUUCUAUGAGCAAUCCAGUUAUAUAUAUAGAUCAGUGGUUUGGACUCAUAUCAGCCAUAGGGCUAAAGAUGAAUGGACAUGUGAAUAAUUACUGGCAUUCACUACUAACAAUACUUACACUGAGACCAUGCAUGAUAAAUGUAAUUGUAAUAAACUGAAUCUGUAAUGAUUUUUGUAUAAUGUUUUGCAAUAAAAUAGUG